UAAGGCGUUCGGAAGGAGAAAAAGAGAUCCCGCCAUUCCCGAUUCUCCGCAGCUGCUGCUACUCUUCUAUACGGCCGGCGUCCUACGAUCCUCAUUCUCCCAUUUUCUGGCUUGCUCGCGCGAUCGAUCGAUCUGGAAAUGGCGUGGUGCGAAGGAGCGGAGGCGCCGCCCCUUCGUCUCAUCGCCUCUUGGAUCCUUUCCUUUUUCUUGAAUCAUACGGAUCCUAGCAAGGAGAAAGAGAAGUACGUCUGCCUCUCUCUCUCUCUCUCUCUCUCUCUCUCUCUCUCUCUCUCUCUCUCUGGCUCGCUCGCGCGAUCGAUCGAUCUGGAAAUGGCGUGGUGCGAAGGAGCGGAUGCGCCGCCCCGUCUUCUAUCGCCUCUGGUGAGCUCAUUAUCCCUCUCGCUCCAAUUUAUUUGCCCUUACUAUGGAUGCCCUCUUCGGUGCUCGUCCCCAGGAUCCUUUUCUUUUUUCUUUAAUUACACUGUUCCUAACAAGGAGAAAGAGAAAUACCUCUCUCUCUCUCUCUCUCUCUCUCUCUCUCUCUCCUCUGGUUCUCGCGCGAUCGAUCGUUCUGGAUAUGGCGUGGUGCGAAAAUGAAAGGUGAUGGCUACGAAGGAAAUAAGGUGUUUAUGGCCUGCACCUUCUAUUGGAUUAAUGCAUCCUUGUGCCUUUCUCGGAGAAAGCUUUAAAGCCUACUUUACAAAUAAACCUGACUAUGCUCUUCUCACAUUAAACCUUGACACAUUUCAUUUCGAGAUGAUAAUAUCUGUUUCUUUCCGUGUUUGUUGUCCUCUCUUAGCAACCAACCACUCCGUCUCGUAAUCUCAUGCUCGUCUUAACGCUAGUCACAGCUCACCAACUGGUUCACUGGUCCCUAAGGACCCGAAGUGACAUCAGCCUCCUUGCCUUCUCUAUGAGGUCGACAGAUUAGAAGACACGUAGAAAUUUUUGGUCCCCACUAAAGGUGCACUUUGAUGAACAGAGUCGAAAAUGCCAUACCUCUUAUUUAGAGACGGCAAUUGAAUCAUAUGGAAUUAUCACUUUAACAAUAUGCAAUAGAACUCAAAAUGGAUGGAGGGAGUGUGUCGACUUAACUACUUACUUGGGGAGCAUCAGGCGUAGAAGACACACAAAGGCAUCAAACAUGUUGACUUGAAUUACUCAUGUAAAAAGUGCAAGAGACACACAAGGGUGUUGGGACGUGUCAACUUGAACUAUUCACGUAGGAAAUGUCAGAUGUAGGCGAUCAAUGAGGACAUCGUGAUAUGUCGACUUAAACUACCUACACUGGAAGAGCAUUAGACACAUGAGACACGUGAGAGCAUCAAGCAUAUCUACUUGAACUGCCUAUAUAGGGAGUGUCGAAUACAUGAGAGAGAUAGCGGGAGAAAUACAAAGGAGGCAUCGGGUGUCAAGGAGCCUCAAUAAGGACCGUAGCAGAGGAGCAAAGAGAGAGAGAGUAGCAAACAUCAUCACUAAAGUGGAAGCAACAGUGAGGAGCUAUGGCCGCAGGUGAAGAGGCGUUGGUGAUGGCAUGGAAAAGUGAGCGGUCGUGAGAAUGAGAAUAGGGUUUCUCUCCAAUGGGCCCGUGACAAGGGUUAGGUAGUGGGACUUGGCUUGUUGAACCAUUUGUAAUAUUUUAGUUCAAGUCAAGUUGAAUCAAUUUCAAUUAGGUUUGUAAUUGGCCUAGGCGAGCGCAUGAACCGCCCAAUGCCUAGGCCCAAGUGCGCUCCUAAGCAGCACCCAAUUGAAGAUGCUCACUCAACCCCUAUUUGAGGCACUUGAGACGCACCUCACUCAAGCACCGAGAUGAGCGCCCGAGUGCCUCUUAAUAUCAUUGUCUAGGAAGUAUACGUGACUAAAGUAAUAUUUAAUUAUUUUUAAAUACAAAUAAUAUCAUCAAAGUCCUGAAGUAGGUAUUGUUCUUUGGGAUACACAAAUUCAUACCUUGAAGCACAAUCGAGAGGUAAAUAUCAUGAUCUUUAUGUUUUAUUAAUUGGGACAACACAUUGAAUCCAAUCAAAAUCUACUCGACAUGCCACAUCAACUUCCAAGGAUGACAAAGAGUCUUCUAAAUGUGCUACCGUUGCACAUGAUACAUAACAGGAAUAUUCUCUCAUUAAAUCAGUGAUUAUAAAACUAAUACUGCAUAAAGUAGCUUUUCGAGUAUCUCUUCACUCUGAAGUCAGUGAACUAGACUUCAGUUCUUCAAUGAACCACUUCUGCAAAGGGUUUUGCCCUUUGUAGAAGUGGCAUAUGAGAUAUAAGAUUUGAACACUUUUUUACCCCUUGUUUGGUAGAUAAGUAAAAGAUUACCCAUUAAAUCACUGAAGGAACCUCCCUGAUGAACACUAUAUAUUCAACAUAAAUCUACAGGCAUACUUUUCAUCUCUUUUGUCUCUCCUCUUACUUCUGAUCUGAUCUUUUGUCUUUUUCACUUUUCUAACCUUUCUUUUGCUUAUUUUUCUGUUCAUGGUAUUCUUUAUUAGAGUUGCUAUUUCAACGGGCCAUCGAAAGACAGGUAGUAACGACUUCCCUCGAAUCAACAUGUCUUGGAUAUCCAUGUUUUGCUUCUUGUUUCUUGAGCUAAAAUGAUAUAAUUUGUGUUCCUAUGCAUUUUGUUGUUAAUGAUUACGGGGAUGUAUUCUAUGCUAGUCUUUUUGUCUGCUCAUAUUUUAAGCAUUAUUUGCCCUCGGUUUGAUGGUUCAAUUAUGAUUAAUCAUUGGAAACAUGCUUCGUCUAGUUGGAGAUCGAGCAAGUUAUUUGGUAGAAGAGUAUUGGAGGGUACAAAGGAAAGCAUUACUUGGACUCCUUUCAUCACUCUAACGUUUGUUGUUGCUAUUCUUCUUUUUAUCCCUUUCUUUUGCAGAUAUAAUAGAACAAAACAUACAAUCUGUCCAUAUAUGGACAUCGAGUGUGGAAUAUUUUGUACAGUCCAUACUCCUAUGUGUUUUGCUGCUAAUGAUGACUAGGGAGGAACUUCCUAAGACAACCGAAGUAAAAAAGAAUUCAGAAGACAUUUAAAGCAUAGAACUACAUUCGUGUUGGACCUAAAUUUUCCCCUUUGCUCACUAAUAAUUGUAAAAUACUCGACUUACAGGGUGACAAUGACGCUGAAGUGGUGAAAUGGCCUUGCUGAUCGUGGUCAUUUUUGUCGGGAUCAUUUCGUCACUUUGGAGUGGUUGUAGUCCUGCAAGAUAUGCACUUUACAAUUUAAAGUGAACAAAAAGAAAAAUUGAGAUCCAGCCCAAUCAUGUGGUCCUCUACUCCACUAUCUUAGGAAGUAUUUCUCUGCCAAGUGUCUUUCUCCAUUUGCCUUGAAAAGUUUCUCUUCAUCAUAGGCUUUGAGGACGGGGAGGGAUUUUUAACCGAAUAAAUAUACACCACUUGGAGAGAGGGAAGUUGAGGAUUAUAUUUUUAAAAAAAAAGGAAAAAGGAAAGGUGAUAACAAAUACACAAUCUGAUCAUAUAUCUGAUGAUCAGUGUGGUUCAUCUUUGAUAUUUUGUACAGUCUAUACUCCUAGGCAUUUUAUUGUUAAUGAAUACUGGGAUGUAUAAUAAUAUGUUAGGCUUUUGUCACUGCUACUUUGGAAAAUAACUGUUUGUAAUAUUACAAGCAUUACUUCCCUUCA